rnacentral:rRNA from 1 species
CGGGGUGAGUAAUGUCUGGGAAACUGCCUGAUGGAGGGGGGAAACUGCUGGAAACGGUAGCUAAUACCGCAUAACGUCGCAAGACCAAAGAGGGGGACCGUUCGGGCCUCUUGCCAUCGGAUGUGCCCAGAUGGGAUUAGCUAGUAGGUGGGGUAACGGCUCACCUAGGCGACGAUCCCUAGCUGGUCUGAGAGGAUGGCCAGCCACACUGGAACUGAGACACGGUCCAG